rnacentral:rRNA from 1 species
GAUGAGCGCUGACAGAAUGCUUAACACAUGCAAGUCUUUGGCGAAGCUGUGCUUGCACAGCCUAGCCAAGGCGGACGGGUGAGUAACGCGUAAGGGACUUGCCCUGCAGUCAGGGAUAACAGACGGAAACGACUGAUAAGACCUGGUAAAGUCAGGCGGACUCAUGUCCAGCCUGAUGAAAAGGAAUGCUGCAGGAGAGCCUUGCGUCCUAUUAGCUUGUUGGUGGGGUAACGGCCCACCAAGGCGAUGAUAGGUAGCCGGCCUGAGAGGGUGGACGGCCACAAGGGGACUGAGAUACGGCCCUUACUCCUACGGGAGGCAGCAGUGGGGAAUAUUGGACAAUGGGGGCAACCCUGAUCCAGCAAUUCUGUGUGCACGAUGAAGGUCUUCGGAUUGUAAAGUGCUUUCAGCAGGGAAGAAAAAAAUGACGGUACCUGCAGAAGAAGCGACGGCUAAAUACGUGCCAGCAGCCGCGGUAAUACGUAUGUCGCGAGCGUUAUCCGGAAUUAUUGGGCAUAAAGGGCAUCUAGGCGGCCCUGUAAGUCUAGGGUGAAAACCUGCGGCUCAACCGCAGGCCUGCCCCGGAAACUACAGGGCUAGAGUGCUGGAGAGGUGGACGGAACUGCACGAGUAGAGGUGAAAUUCGUAGAUAUGUGCAGGAAUGCCGAUGAUGAAGAUAGUUCACUGGACGGCAACUGACGCUGAAGUGCGAAAGCUAGGGGAGCAAACAGG